rnacentral:misc_RNA from 1 species
AACGCACCUUGCGCUCCUUGGUAUUCCGAGGAGCAUGCCUGUUUGAGUGUCAUUAAAUUCUCAACUUCAUCAACUUUGUUGUUGAAGCUUGGAUGUGGGGGUUUUGCAGGUCUGCCUUAAUUGUGUGGUCUGCUCUCCUGAAAUAUAUUAGCGGGUUGGCUUCCCUCUAUCAGUGUGAUAAUUAUCUACGCUGUGGAUGGGUUUGGCUUUCAGACCAGCUUCUAAUCGUCCUUCUAGGACAAUCUCUUGACAUUUUUGACCUCAAAUCAGGUAGGACUACCCGCUGAACUUAA